CGCAAUAGUUUAUUCUUACAAAAUAUAGACCGGUUAACUUUAGCGAAAUGGGAUCACUUUUAGCUCUUUUAAAAACAAAAUGAACAAAUUUCAUGGGUUAUCAGCAUUACGAAAAGUGUCAAAGUCUCAGAAAAGCAAGACGAUUUUGAAGUAUCUCUUAUUGCUGGAAAAGAUAAACAUCAACAUUUCACGCACAUUUCACAUGAUUUGUAUGUUUCGUUUCGGUAACUGUGUGGCUUGAAAUUUCAAAGAAACCAACAUGUCGACUUACAUGCUACAAAAUUAACGUCUCCCGUAUACAAACUACAAACCUGUUCGAGUUUAAUGAUAGUCACACAUAGUUCCAUCAAUAGCUGUCAAGUGUGAUGGUUUGAAUAGUAAAUCCAGCGACAACAAGCUGCAUCGGCAAAAAUAGUAACUCUCUUGUGUGGAAACAAGGAAGAUUGUAAUAUUAGAGUUGUUCCCCUUUGUAACAGCAGACGACCUUAACAUAUAUAUCACGGACGCUUCUGGACUAAAAAAAAGAAAGAGAAACUUCUCCUCGGCUGACAUAGAUAUCAUUGUAUCAGGUGUGGAAAGUAAUUUUGACAUGCUGAAUUCGGCCUUUACGUAUACAGUGACAAAUAAUGCAAAGAAGAGGAUUUGGAAAGAUAUCACCACGACAUUCUACAACUGAUUCCAUCCUGUGCUAUUGAGGGGAUCCCAGGGGGCAUAGAAACACCUGAUGAUGAUGGCACUUCCUCCUUAGGAUUCAUGGACAUGUGUAUUAAAGUCAAUAAAUGUUCAGCAUGAUUCAUUCAUUAGCUGAUGAAGCUGAAGACGCAACACAGGCAUUAAUGUUUGAUUCUCCACAGGAAGUGUUUUACACUCCACUGACAGCUACAAGCUUAAGUAAGCACAGGAGAAACUGAUUGUGGAACUAGCACAGAAAAGAACCAAGCCAGUCUGGAGGAUAUAAUGAUGACUCCUGCUAUCAGAGCCAAUAUAUGUACCUUAGUAGCCGCAGUAUCCUUGUGGUACACAACUAUCUUCACCUCCUGGAGUGAUGAUCCGGGGUUGUCCUGUCCGAACUGUUCCACCGUCUCCAUCAUGGUUUUGGCCAC